rnacentral:rRNA from 1 species
UACGUAGGGUGCGAGCGUUGUCCGGAAUUAUUGGGCGUAAAGGGCUCGUAGGCGGUCUGUCGCGUCGAAAGUGAAAACCCAGGGCUUAACCCUGGGCCUGCUUCCGAUACGGGCAGACUAGAGGUAUGCAGGGGAGAACGGAAUUCCCGGUGUAGCGGUGAAAUGCGCAGAUAUCGGGAGGAACACCGGUGGCGAAGGCGGUUCUCUGGGCCUGUACUGACGCUGAGGAGCGAAAGCGUGGGGAGCGAACAGG